GCGGAAGUAGUUUAGUGGUAGAACACCACCUUCCCAAGGUGGGGGUCGCGGGUUCGAGUCCCGUCUUCCGCUCUA
rnacentral:tRNA from 1 species